GACGUCUCUCACAACAGAUUGUUCCGAGACUGAGGAGGUUGCAGGUGGCCCCAUCUCCCUCCAUCUACAGUAGGACACUGGAGACUUGGAAUGUCACCUGGUGAAAUGAAGAUUCUGCUGCUGAUUCUGGGUUGUCUGAACUCAGCCUCGGUGACAGACUCUGCACUCGGUGACCCGUGUGUGACCCACACCGUCCUGGAUCAGCCCUGGAGGAGCACGGAUUGUUCCAACACUGAGUGCAGCGCUGGGACAUGGAUGGACGAUAGAAAUCUCGCAGUGGGAUGGUACAGAUUCUACAGUUCCGGUGGAUGGAAGAUUCCGGAGACUGUCGUUCUCGUGAAUCACUGCUCCGGGCAGUACCCAGGCUGGUUAGCCGGUA